rnacentral:misc_RNA from 1 species
CCGAGCUCGCGCCCACCCGGGCCGACCUCCCCCCCGUGUGUAUUCUACCCUGUUGCUUUGGCGAGCCGCCCCCCUGAGGGGCCUUGCACGCUCGUCGAAGGCCCUCAAAACCCUGUUCGUCAGUGUCGUCUGAGCGUGAUAUAAUAGUUA